UGAACGCUGGCGGCAGGCUUAACACAUGCAAGUCGAGCGGAGAUGAGGUGCUUGCACCUUAUCUUAGCGGCGGACGGGUGAGUAAUGCUUAGGAAUCUGCCUAUUAGUGGGGGACAACAUUCCGAAAGGAAUGCUAAUACCGCAUACGUCCUACGGGAGAAAGCAGGGGAUCUUCGGACCUUGCGCUAAUAGAUGAGCCUAAGUCGGAUUAGCUAGUUGGUGGGGUAAAGGCCUACCAAGGCGACGAUCUGUAGCGGGUCUGAGAGGAUGAUCCGCCACACUGGGACUGAGACACGGCCCAGACUCCUACGGGAGGCAGCAGUGGGGAAUAUUGGACAAUGGGGGGAACCCAGAUCCAGCCAUGCCGCGUGUGUGAAGAAGGCCUUAUGGUUGUAAAGCACUUUAAGCGGGGAGGAGGCUACUGAGACUAAUACUCUUGGAUAGUGGACGUUACUCGCAGAAUAAGCACCGGCUAACUCUGUGCCAGCCGCCGCGGUAA
rnacentral:rRNA from 1 species